rnacentral:rRNA from 1 species
AUUGAACGCUGGCGGCAGGCUUAACACAUGCAAGUCGAGCGGAAACGAUGGGAGCUUGCUCCCAGGCGUCGAGCGGCGGACGGGUGAGUAACACUUAGGAAUCUACCUAGUAGUGGGGGAUAGCUCGGGGAAACUCGAAUUAAUACCGCAUACGUCCUACGGGAGAAAGGGGGCAACUUGUUGCUCUCGCUAUUAGAUGAGCCUAAGUCGGAUUAGCUAGUUGGUGGGGUAAAGGCCUACCAAGGCGACGAUCUGUAGCUGGUCUGAGAGGAUGAUCAGCCACACCGGGACUGAGACACGGCCCGGACUCCUACGGGAGGCAGCAGUGGGGAAUAUUGGACAAUGGGGGCAACCCUGAUCCAGCCAUGCCGCGUGUGUGAAGAAGGCCUUUUGGUUGUAAAGCACUUUAAGCAGUGAAGAAGACCUAACGGUUAAUACCCGUUAGCGAUGACAUUAGCUGCAGAAUAAGCACCGUCUAACUCUGUGCCAGCAGCCGCGGUAAUACAGAGGGUGCAAGCGUUAGUCGGAAUUACUGGGCGUAAAGCGAGCGUAGGUGGCUUGAUAAGUCAGAUGUGAAAUCCCCGGGCUUAACCUGGGAACUGCAUCUGAUACUGUCAGGCUAGAAUAGGUGAGAGGAAGGUAGAAUUCCAGGUGUAGCGGUGAAAUGCGUAGAGAUCUGGAGGAAUACCGAUGGCGAAGGCAGCCUUCUGGCAUCAUAUUGACACUGAGGUUCGAAAGCGUGGGUAGCAAACAGG